rnacentral:misc_RNA from 1 species
ACGUAUCUCCGGCGGCAGCGGUCGCGCCCUGCUCCGGCCCUCCCGGGUCGUGCAGCGGGUGCGCCGCCCGUCGAAAACCCUCACAAACCCACCGUGAACCUUUUGCGGCGGAGGGCCCGUCGGCGAGAGCCGGCGACGUCCGAUGCCGAUCAUCACAGACUCCUAGUCUUUGAAACUCAGUGGCCUUUGCCACCCAACAAAUGUAA